GGGGCUGAUUCUGGAUUCGACGGGAUUUGCGAAACCCAAGGUGCAUGCCGAGGGGCGGUUGGCCUCGUAAAAAGCCGCAAAAAAAUAGUCGCAAACGACGAAAACUACGCUUUAGCAGCUUAAUAACCUGCUUAGAGCCCUCUCUCCCUAGCCUCCGCUCUUAGGACGGGGAUCAAGAGAGGUCAAACCCAAAAGAGAUCGCGCGGAUGCCCUGCCUGGGGUUGAAGCGUUAAAACGAAUCAGGCUAGUCUGGUAGUGGCGUGUCCGUCCGCAGGUGCCAGGCGAAUGUAAAGACAGACAAAGCAUGUAGUACCGAGGAUGUAGGAAUUUCGGACGCGGGUUCAACUCCCGCCAGCUCCACCA
rnacentral:tmRNA from 1 species